AUUUAAAUAGUUUAAAAAAAACAUUGAUUUGUGGAAUCAAAAAUAUAAUUAAUUAUUUUAAAUA
rnacentral:tRNA from 1 species